CUACGGGGCGCAGCAGUCGAGGAAAUUUUACAAUGCUCGAAAGAGUGAUAGAAUGAGUCAGAGUGUUUCUCUUAGAGAAACUUUUAUCUGUUGUAAAAAGACAGAUGAAUAAGGACUGGGAAAGACCGGUGCCAGCCGCCGCGGUAAUACCGGCGGUCCAAGUCGCAUCCACAUUUAUUGGGUCUAAAACAUUCGUAGCUUGUUUUGUAAGUCUCUUGUGAAAUCUUAUAUCUCAAAUAUGAAGCGUGCAAGAGAUACUACAUAACUAGAGACCGGAAGACGUAAGGAGUAUGAUUGAGGUAGCGGUAAAAUGUGUUAAUCUUAAUCAGACUAACAAUAGCGAAGGCACCUUACGAGUACGGAUCUGACAGUGAGGAAUGAAGGCCAGGGGCGCAAAAGGGAUUAGAUACCCUGGUAGUC
rnacentral:rRNA from 1 species